ACAUAGGCACAUGCUAAUUACUGCUAACCAACAUUCUAGUUAACAUUAGUCGAAUUAAACCUAAACCGAUA